rnacentral:lncRNA from 1 species
GUAACAGCUACUCUUAGCGCGCCUGGCACAGGCCCACGGCACGUUGCUCUCUCCCUUCCCUGUUCCUGCUCCCCUCUCCUCCGGCCCCUCCUCAGUCUCUUACGGAGGAGGCCUCGAGGCAAGUCUUGCCAAAAACCUCAUUUACCAGGGCGGUCCCUGGUUCCUGUUUGCCUAAAACCAAAGCCGCAGGCUCUUCAAAAGAACCUAGCAAACCCAGAUAGAAAGCCGGAGACGGUGAAAAAAAUAUCAGAAGUGGUGGAACACGUGUUUGUGUCUCCGUUCCGUUCUGAGAGCGUUUAGCAGAGAACUGUAGACUGACCCAGCCAGAAGAAACUUCUAAUGUUUUUUAGUCCAGCUGGAUUUUAAUCACUUACAAUAAUGACAUAAUACGUGGGACCAUCAUUCAUGUCUGAACCUCUAAGGUGACCACUGGCAUGGCUCUUCUGCUCACGGGCCCCCAAGGAGCUGCGUCCAAUGACAUCUGGACGCUCUGUCCACACUGACGAGGCUUGUUUCCAAGUCUCCACCUGCGGGUGCUCAGCCAGGCCCUACUGCUUAACUCCUAGCCUGCACAGCAACCAGAGUGAAUAGAGGAGAGACAUCAAUGUGAUCAGUGUUCCUCCCAGCUGGAAGCGACUCAGACCCUCAGGAGCUCUCCAUGGAUUUUUAACCGCUCUUUGCUACUGCCUUGGCCAUUUUAUUUGAAAUAAAUAUUCAAGAUUGACCUUCCCUACACUUCUUUCUUUUUGCUACACCCACCAGUACAAGAUUUCAUUGCAAUUUUGAAAGGCGCA